GAUGAACGCUGGCGGCGUGCCUAAUACAUGCAAGUCGAGCGAACAGACGAGGAGCUUGCUCCUCUGACGUUAGCGGCGGACGGGUGAGUAACACGUGGAUAACCUACCUAUAAGACUGGGAUAACUUCGGGAAACCGGAGCUAAUACCGGAUAAUAUAUUGAACCGCAUGGUUCAAUAGUGAAAGACGGUUUUGCUGUCACUUAUAGAUGGAUCCGCGCCGCAUUAGCUAGUUGGUAAGGUAACGGCUUACCAAGGCGACGAUGCGUAGCCGACCUGAGAGGGUGAUCGGCCACCCUGGAACUGAGACACGGUCCAGACUCCUACGGGAGGCAGCAGUAGGGAAUCUUCCGCAAUGGGCGAAAGCCUGACGGAGCAACGCCGCGUGAGUGAUGAAGGUCUUCGGAUCGUAAAGCUCUGUUAUUAGGGAAGAACAAAUGUGUAAGUACCUAUGCACGUCUUGACGGUACCUAAUCAGAAAGCCACGGCUAACUACGUG
rnacentral:rRNA from 1 species